UCAAAUGAAUUGACGGGGACCCGCACAAGCGGUGGAACGUGUGGUUAAUUCGACACUAAACGAAAAACCUUACCGAGGCUCGACAUCUCUGGAAGAUUUAGAAAUAAGAUUGUGCCCGCAAGGGAACCAGAUGACAGGUGCUGCAUGGCUGUCGUCAGCUCGUGUUGUGAAAUGUUCGGUUAAGUCCGUCAACGAGCGCAACCCUCAUCGUAUGUUAUAUUUCUCAUGCGAGACUGCCCUGGUUAACAGGGAGGAAGGUGGGGAUGACGUCUAGUCAGCAUGGCUCUUACGCCUCGGGCUACACACGCGUUACAAUGGCCGGUACAAUGGGUUGCCAACCAGCAAUGGGGAGCUAAUCCCACCAAAACCGGUCCCAGUUCGGAUUGAGGGCUGCAACUCGCCCUCAUGAAGUCGGAAUCGCUAGUAAACGUAAAUCAGCAUGUUACGUUGAAUACGUUCCCGGGCCUU
rnacentral:rRNA from 1 species